rnacentral:lncRNA from 1 species
ACCUUAGGUGAUCCACUUGCAUCGACCUUCCAAAGUGUUGGAAUUACAGGCAGGAGCCACCACACCCAGACUAGAAAACAUUAUUCAAUAGCAAACAGUAGCAGUAUGCUUGGGGGUUUUAGGAUUGAUUAUUUUCAAAUCUCUAGAAAAGCUCAAUGCAUUACCUUAGGCUAUAAUCUCAGGGCAGAGUCUCAUCUGUUAAUGUGGGGCUGGUCUAAGGGUCCUUCCACCUCUCAGAUUUAUGGUUUCCGAUGUUGAACUGCUCCCUGUCACCCACCCAUCCUCGGUUUUGUUUGUUUGUUUUUACAGAGACGAGGUCUCACUAUAUUGACCAGGCUGGUCUUGAACUCCUGGCCUUAAGCGAUCCUCCUGCCUUGGCCUCCCAAAGUGCUGGAGUUACAGAUGUGAGCCUCUGUGCUCAGUCCAUCCUUGGCUGUUCAAGUGUAGAGAAAUUGCCACUCCCUCUCCAGCCCUCAGCAACCACCACCUCGAUCAGUCACUAGCUAUCAACAUUGAGACAAGACCAUCCAGCAGCAAAAUGAUGAUGACUUACUGAAGGCCCAGAUGAUGGUUAGCAGUUUUUGGCAAUCACGUAUUUUCAAAGUCCAGUGUCUGAUUCUUUUGGGAAGCUGGAUAUGAAGUCAGAAUCUUUCUUUGAGUCAUACAUUUUCAUGAUUAUGAUUAUUAUUGAAUGAUAGCUGACAAUUAUUGAGAGCAAUUAUUGAGGACAAUUAUUGAGCUUUCACAAGCCCUUUUCAAAGGUCUUUACAUAUAUUUUCUCCACUUCUAACUGUUAGAUAUUCUUAUUAUUCCCAUUUUGUAGAUGAGGGAUACACAGGCAUAAAGCCUAUGUGGAGGCAGAGAGCAGCUACGUAACCUGACCAUGGCCCAACAGCAAACAAAUGAUGGGGCCACAUGCAAAUCCAGGCAGAAUCCUUCUAUUAUAUGAAGCUCAAUGUUUUCUUGUUUGCAGCUUGUUAUGAAUACAUCUAUUUGCAAAUGGGUUUUGAAGCUACUUUAAAACAUUUUGUGGCUGUGCGUGGUGGCUGGCACCUGUAAUCCCAGCAUUAUGGGAGACCAAGGUGGGCAGAUUGCCUGAGCUCAGGAGUUUGAGACCAACCUGGCCAACAUGGUGAAACCCUGUGCCUACUAAAAAUACAAAAAAAUUAGCCAGGUGUGUUGGUGUGCACCUGUAAUCCCAGCUACUCUGGAGGGUGAGGCAGGAGAAUCACUUGAACCCAGGAGAGGAAGGUUGCAGUAAGCUGAGAUCAUGCCACUGAACUCCAGCCUGGGCAACAGAGUGAGAUUCUGUCUCCAAAUAAAAAAUAAAUAAGAUUGAAUUUUGAGCUCCUGACCAUGUCCCUAGAUUGUACUCAUAUGUAUUUUGAUGUCUAAUAAGAUUUAUUCUCAGUGCAUUUUUUAAGUGAAAGUAUUUAUUGAGCAUCUACUGUAUAUCAUGUGCUGAAAUAGGCACCAGUGGUGCAGGGAACAUAUGGCACAGUGUCUGACCUCAGGUAACUUUCACUCUCAUACAUAUGUAUUAGGACACCAACACAUGUGUGAAUAUAAGAUAGUAUGAUAGAUAUUGCAACAAGUAAUUAUUUACUGUAAACCUAUUUUAUAGGAUUUUAAACUUAAACUACUUUCACCCUAUUUCCAAAAAAAAGUAUUGCAUAACUUUAAAUAGAUUCUCAGUUUGAAAUCAUCAUACAAACUGCAGUAGCAUCUGCUGGUGAAAUACUGCUUUGUAUCUAUUAGAAUAGUCCAAACAAUUGUGAGACAACUGCAUUAUUAGAGCUGUAAAAGUUAUUGUCUAGAAAUCUCAGAGAAGAAGAGGAAGUUCUAUGGUAGAUGAAUAAGAUGACAUCUAAACUGUUCUCUUCAGCUACUGAAGUUCUGUGGAUAUCUCACAGCACAAAGUUCAAGUGUAUGCCCACAGCUCCUCAUGCCACAAGAUGUGACACCUUUCCAAUCUCUUUUUGCAAAAGUUUCCAAUUAUGUCUCUUUUAAGAGUACUUUUUAUACCCACAUAUUCCAGAUUUUGUGGUGCACGCAAAGACAAGAUGGGAAGGGGCUUCCAUUUAUUGAUGCCAGCUGCUCCAUGGACCAGGCCCUGCCCAUGCAUCCAUGUUGGUUCUUUUAUCCCCACAUCAGCCAUAGCCCAUAAGCAUUAACUGCCAUUGCACAGAUGAGGAAAUUGAAAGUCUAAGAGAAUAUGCAAUCUACCCAGAGUCAUGCAGCUUGUGUAUGUAAGGGUUGGAAUGAAAAUCCAAUCUGUGUGAGUCCCAAGUCCCCUUCCACCAUAUGGUUUCCAUUUCAUUUUGCAAUCAGAUUGGCUGGGAUAUGUCUGCCCUAAAAGACAGUAAGUAGGAAUAUUUGUCUCUAUACCUUAACCUGACAUCCAUGGGCUUGCUUUUUGUAUUUGGAGGUGUCAUAACAUUAUAAUAAUAAUUUGAUUUUAUUUGUACAGUGGAUAUUAUACUACUCAGUCUAGAGAUUUAUGACAUCCCAGUCUAAACUGGAUGAUAGCAAUGAAGCUUCUUCAAGGAGACAAGUAUGAGUAAUAAGGUAGUAAUAAGCUGAAUUUCUAUGGAGUUGCUACUUCUGAAUUAAAACUAGUUGAGAUUAAGUAGAUAUUCAAAAAUAUUGCUAUAAUCUUCACUUGAAUAAUACAAACAUUUAUUAUUUUUACAUAUUUAUUUAUUUAUGGAACAUAGAUGUAAUUUUAAAACAAUAUUUUCAAAUUAUAUUAAAAUAUAUUAAAAACAUAAUACAUUAUCACCCAAUAGAGUUUUUCAAAGUAACUCAGUGUUAGUUUAAAAUGUGAAAUUCAAUCAACAUAAUUCACCAUAGAAUACAGUGUGUAUGUCAGUAUAAUAUAUAUAUCAAAAUUGGAAAGCAGUAAAUUUAUCUUUGUUUUGUAAUAAGAUGAAAUUAAAAU